GAUGAACGCUGGCGGCGUGCCUAAUACAUGCAAGUCGAGCGAACAGACGAGGAGCUUGCUCCUUUGACGUUAGCGGCGGACGGGUGAGUAACACGUAGGUAACCUACCUAUAAGACUGGGAUAACUUCGGGAAACCGGAGCUAAUACCGGAUAAUAUUUCGAACCGCAUGGUUCGAUAGUGAAAGAUGGCUUUGCUAUCACUUAUAGAUGGACCUGCGCCGUAUUAGCUAGUUGGUAAGGUAACGGCUUACCAAGGCAACGAUACGUAGCCGACCUGAGAGGGUGAUCGGCCACACUGGAACUGAGACACGGUCCAGACUCCUACGGGAGGCAGCAGUAGGGAAUCUUCCGCAAUGGGCAAAAGCCUGACGGAGCAACGCCGCGUGAGUGAUGAAGGUCUUCGGAUCGUAAAACUCUGUUAUUAGGGAAGAACAAACGUGUAAGUAACUGUGCACGUCUUGACGGUACCUAAUCAGAAAGCCACGGCUAACUACGUG
rnacentral:rRNA from 1 species